rnacentral:rRNA from 1 species
GUGCCAGCAGCCGCGGUAAUACGUAGGGCGCAAUGCGGUAUAUCCGGAAUUAUUGGGCGUAAAGAGCUCGUAGGCGGUUUGUCGCGUCUGCUGUGAAAUCCCGAGGCUCAACCUCGGGCCUGCAGUGGGUACGGGCAGACUAGAGUGCGGUAGGGGAGAUUGGAAUUCCUGGUGUAGCGGUGGAAUGCGCAGAUAUCAGGAGGAACACCGAUGGCGAAGGCCAGAUCUCUGGGCCGUAACUGACGCUGAGGAGCGAAAGGGUGGGGAGCAAACAGGCUUAGAUACCCUGGUAGUCC